rnacentral:rRNA from 1 species
AACGAACGCUGGCGGCGCGCCUAAUACAUGCAAGUCGAGCGAGAAGACGUAGCAAUACGUUUGUAAAGCGGCGAACGGGUGAGGAAUACAUGGGUAACCUACCCUAGAGUGGGGAAUAACUAGCCGAAAGGUUAGCUAAUACCGCGUACGCUCCUUGGACUUCGGUACAGGGAGGAAAGCGAUACCGUGGGUAUCGCGCUCUUGGAUGGGCUCAUGUCCUAUCAGCUUGUUGGUGAGGUAACGGCUCACCAAGGCUUCGACGGGUAGCUGGUCUGAGAGGACGAUCAGCCACACUGGCACUGCGACACGGGCCAGACUCCUACGGGAGGCAGCAGUAAGGAAUAUUGCGCAAUGGGCGAAAGCCUGACGCAGCAACGCCGCGUGCGGGAUGACGGCCUGGUGUAACG